AGGGAUCAUUACAGAGUUUUCUAAACUCCCAACCCUUUGUUUACAUACCACUGUUGCUUCGGCGGCGGAGGCGCUACCCUACAGGUGCUACCCAGUAGUUACCCUGUAGUCCCGGUUUGCCUUCCCGCCGGUGGCCAACUAAACUCUGUUUUUUCUGGAACUCUGAAUUAUAAACUUAAUAAGUUAAAACUUUCAACAACGGAUCUCUUGGUUCUGGCAUCGAUGAAGAACGCAGCGAAAUGCGAUAAGUAAUGUGAAUUGCAGAAUUCAGUGAAUCAUCGAAUCUUUGAACGCACAUUGCGCCCAUUAGCAUUCUAGUGGGCAUGCCUGUUCGAGCGUCAUUUCACCACUUAAGCCCUGCUGCUUAGCGUUGGGGGCCUACGGCAUAGCCUGUAGCCCCUUAAAGUGAUCGGCGGAGUUAGUAUUAUCUCUAAGCGUAGUAAUUUCUUCUCGCUUCUGCAGUAGUGCUGGCCCCCGCCGUAAAACCCUAUUAUACAAUGGUUGACCUCGGAUCAGGUAGGAAUACCCGCUGAACUUAA
rnacentral:rRNA from 1 species